rnacentral:rRNA from 1 species
GAACGCUGGCGGCGUGCCUAAUACAUGCAAGUCGAGCGAACAGAUGAGGAGCUUGCUCCUCUGACGUUAGCGGCGGACGGGUGAGUAACACGUGGAUAACCUACCUAUAAGACUGGGAUAACUUCGGGAAACCGGAGCUAAUACCGGAUAAUAUAUUGAACCGCAUGGUUCAAUAGUGAAAGACGGUUUUGCUGUCACUUAUAGAUGGAUCCGCGCCGCAUUAGCUAGUUGGUAAGGUAACGGCUUACCAAGGCAACGAUGCGUAGCCGACCUGAGAGGGUGAUCGGCCACACUGGAACUGAGACACGGUCCAGACUCCUACGGGAGGCAGCAGUAGGGAAUCUUCCGCAAUGGGCGAAAGCCUGACGGAGCAACGCCGCGUGAGUGAUGAAGGUCUUCGGAUCGUAAAACUCUGUUAUUAGGGAAGAACAAAUGUGUAAGUAACUAUGCACGUCUUGACGGUACCUAACCAGAAAGCCACGGCUAACUACGUG